GCCUCGUCGAGUUUAAGUUGGGGCAAUAACCCUAGCUAUAUAUAGUGGAGAGACAAGUGAAGCACAGCCGACCAUCCGAGUUCGGCGAUUUCACUAUGAGAGCCAAGUGGAAGAAGAAGCGCAUGAGGAGAUUGAAGAGGAAGCGCAGAAAGAUGAGACAGAGAUCUAAGUAGUCUGUUGUCAUACUUAUCCAUAAUUCUCUGUUAUUGCUUUUAUUUAGUUUCUUGGAACCUUUUAUGUUUUGUGUUGUUACAUUUAAGUUUGAACAAUCUUCUAUAGAUCUUGUUUUGCUUAA